UCCCAUGCUUCAUGGCUGCUGCUGCUGCGUGGUGUGCACAGAACUCGCCAAGACCUCAGCUGCUUGGUUCCACCAGCCCCACCCCUUCAUCUGGUGUGGACCUGGCCAGGCCAGUCACUCCAGGGCAGCAGCAUGGACAGAGCACAGAGCCCCUGACCUGGCGGACACGGGACAGUCUCUGGCACAGGCGGUGACACCCAUGGGACGGGGAGAAGGCCUCACUCCAUUCCAACACGCACUGCGGCCGAGGAGGGCUUCCCACUGAAGUACAAGGUCCCCACGAGGAACAAACGCAACUCUGGGCGUGCCUUGUGGCCAGUCAGCAAGGCCACCCUGUGUGCACUCUGGAUUCUCACAGCCUUCCUUCUCUUCCCUGGUGACCCUCACUGGCCUGGGUUCUGGGGAGCAUGGCUGCUGUCCCCAAGGCAGGUGUCAACCGCGGUUGUGUUGCUGGAUGUGACCUAGGUGCAGGCUCCUUUGCAGCAGGGGCCGCAGCUGCGACCCUGGAAGUCCACAUUGGUUCCCAGGCCUCAGGAGAUAGGUGGACUGUCCGUCCACUUGAGAAAAGGGAUUUCCAGCUCCGAGGGUGAGUAGCUUGUCCAGGGUCCCAGAGCCAACAGAGGAGACCAGGCUUGAACCUCCUCCAGUUUGACUCCACGUACCAAGCUGUACCCCGGACGCAGUCAGGGGCUGAGGGCCAACUCUGCCGUCUGAUGGGACUCUCCCUCUCUGUCUUAGCAGCUAAUUUGUGUUUCCCAUUUCUUUGUGACAGCUGGCUUCGUCAGACCAGGUCUCGGAUUUUGGAGUGAGAGGAGCUGUGAUUGAGGACUGGUGUCCCAGGUGUCUCACUGGGGCGGUCGCCCUGUGCCCUCGCUGAGCCUGCUGUGCAGUGAGGUGUACACAGAGAGGACCCGGGCUGUCGGGGUGCAGGAGCACUGGCUCCCUACCUUGGAGGGCCAGAGUCACCCGGGGUUCCUUGCCAGGUUCAGCCAAUCUGCCCCAGGCAACACCCAAACCAUAGCCAGUGCAGAGUCUUCCAGGGACACAUCUUCUGUGUUUCAAGAAGAGGAAGGAGUGAGGACCCAGAGUUGGGAGGCCUGGAGCCAGCACCUCCUGACCACGAGUCGGCUUCCUCACCCAGUUGGGGACAGCCCGGUAAAGGGCUCAGUCACAGGCCCACAUGUGUUCUAAGGUUCACCAACUAUCAUUUUGAGGUACUGCUAAGCUUUUGGUUUUUAUAGUGAUGAAAUAUACACAACAAAGUUGAUCAUUUUGACCUUUAAGUGUCCAGCCCACUGGCUUUGAGUAGUUCACACUGCUAUGCGGCCAUCGCCACGUCCCCUCCAGGCCUUCCUCAACCUCCCACACUGAAACUGCAACCCUGUCUUCCCCACGCCCAGCUCCUCACCACCACCACCUGCUUUCUGUCACAUCACUUGACCACUCUGGGGACCUCAUGUCUUGUUGGUGACUGACUGAUCUCACAUGACGUCCUCAGCAUUCAUCCUGUUAACAGUGGCGAGGUUUUUUUUGAAAAGCUACAUAGUGUCCUUUGGCUGCUUAAGCCACAUUUCUUUUAUCUGCUUAUCAUUGAUGGACACUUGGGUUGGUUCCGUCCUUGACCACUGUGAAUAAUGCUGCUAGGGAUGUAGGUGGGAGUGUUUGUUUAAGUCCCUGCUUCUAAUCCUUGUGGUCACAUAUGCAGAAUUGCGUAAUCGUGCAGUGACCACCGUUUUCCAGGGCAGUUGUCUCCUUCAUGUUCCCUCCAGGAAUACAGGAGGCUUCUCGUUCUCGUUUCUCCACACCCCUGGCAACAGUUAUUUUCUGGUUUUUGUCUGUAUUUUAUUUACUUGUUGAUGUGGUUCUGGGGAUUGAGCCCAGGGGCACUUUCCCAUUGAGCUGAUCUCCAGUUUUUUUUUUGUUGUUGUUUGUUUUUUUUUUAUUAAGCCAGGGUCUCACUAAGUUGGCAGGCUGGCCUUGAACCUGAGACCCUCCUGCCUCAGCCUCCUGGCUUGCUGGGAUUAUAGGCGUGCUCCACCCUGCCUGGCUUGACUUUUUUUUUUUUUUAAAGAAGGCAUCCUAAUGGAUAUGAAAUUGUAUCUCUGGUGGUUUGGAUUUGUGUUUUCUAAUGAAUGAUGUUGAACAACUUUCAUGUGCUUAUUAGCCAGUUAAUUAUAUAUCUUCUAUGUCUCGAAGGACUGGGGAUGAGAAUGAGCCCCAGGUAGAUACGUGACUUGGAAAUGCUCACUGCAUGGACCACCUUUUCCCUCUUGGUAGUAUUCCUUUUUGUGCAAAUAAAAAAAUUUAUUUAUAUAUAUAUAUAUAUAUAUAAUUUGUACUGUGGAUUGAACCCAGGGUGCUUUAACCAAUCAGCCACAUCCCUGUCUUUUUUAUUCUUUAUCUUAAGGUAAAGUCUCCUUGAGUUGCUGAAGCUGGCCUUGAACUUGCCAGCCUCUGAGUCCCUGGGAUAGCAGGCAGGGGCCACCGCACCUGGCAGUUUUUCCUCCCAGUGAAGAGCCAUUUUGUUCUCUGUCAGCAGAGAACUCUUAUUCCCCUGCCUCCGGCCUUGCAGGAUUUCUCUUGGAAAUCUUCAUGGUCUUAUUGAUCGCUCACAUGGGGUGACCUGCUUUUCUCAGCUCUUGCUUUCAAGAUGUCCUCUUUGUCCUUCAGCAGUAUGAUCGGCGUGGGCCUUGGCGUGGGUCUCUAGGAGUUUAUCAAGCCUCUGACUUUCGUGUGUCCCACAAUCCCCUGGGCUCGCUCGCUUGUCUCUGUUCCUUUCCCCUUCU
rnacentral:lncRNA from 1 species